AGUAGGUGAGUGAUGGGGUGACGCAGGAAGGUAGUCCAUCCCGGGCGGUGGUUGUCCCGGGGUAAGGGUGUAGGCCGUGUGGUAGGUAAAUCCGUCACACUUGUGGCUGAGACCUGAUGCCGAGCCGAUUGUGGUGAAGUGGAUGAUCCUAUGCUGUCGAGAAAAGCCUCUAGCGAGUUUCAUGGCGGCCCGUACCCUAAACCGACUCAGGUGGUCAGGUAGAGAAUACCGAGGCGUUCGGGUGAACUAUGGUUAAGGAACUCGGCAAAAUGCCCCCGUAACUUCGGGAGAAGGGGGGCCAUCACCUGGUGACGAGGACUUGCACUCUCGAGCUGGGGGUGGCCGCAGAGACCAGCGAGAAGCGACUGUUUACUAAAAACACAGGUCCGUGCGAAGCCGUAAGGCGAUGUAUACGGACUGACGCCUGCCCGGUGCUGGAACGUUAAGGGGACCGGUUAGUCACAUUUCGGUGUGGCGAAGCUGAGAACUUAAGCGCCAGUAAACGGCGGUGGUAACUAUAACCAUCCUAAGGUAGCGAAAUUCCUUGUCGGGUAAGUUCCGACCUGCACGAAUGGCGUAACGACUUCUCGACUGUCUCAACCAUAGGCCCGGUGAAAUUGCACUACGAGUAAAGAUGCUCGUUUCGCGCAGCAGGACGGAAAGACCCCGGGACCUUUACUACAGUUUGAUAUUGGUGUUCGGUUCGGCUUGUGUAGGAUAGCUGGGAGACUUUGAAGCUUGGACGCCAGUUCAGGUGGAGUCGUCGUUGAAAUACCAGUCUGGUCGUGCUGGAUGUCUAACCUGGGUCCGUGAUCCGGAUCAGGGACAGUGUCUGAUGGGUAGUUUAACUGGGGCGGUUGCCUCCUAAAGAGUAACGGAGGCGCCCAAAGGUUCCCUCAGCCUGGUUGGCAAUCAGGUGUUGAGUGUAAGUGCACAAGGGAGCUUGACUGUGAGACCGACGGGUCGAGCAGGGACGAAAGUCGGGACUAGUGAUCCGGCGGUGGCUUGUGGAAGCGCCGUCGCUCAACGGAUAAAAGGUACCCCGGGGAUAACAGGCUGAUCUUCCCCAAGAGUCCAUAUCGACGGGAUGGUUUGGCACCUCGAUGUCGGCUCGUCGCAUCCUGGGGCUGGAGUCGGUCCCAAGGGUUGGGCUGUUCGCCCAUUAAAGCGGUACGCGAGCUGGGUUUAGAACGUCGUGAGACAGUUCGGUCCCUAUCCGCUGUGCGCGUAGGAAA
rnacentral:ncRNA from 1 species